rnacentral:rRNA from 1 species
AAAACUUUCAACAACGGAUCUCUUGGUUCUGGCAUCGAUGAAGAACGCAGCGAAAUGCGAUAAGUAAUGUGAAUUGCAGAAUUCAGUGAAUCAUCGAAUCUUUGAACGCACAUUGCGCCCAUUAGUAUUCUAGUGGGCAUGCCUGUUCGAGCGUCAUUUCAACCCUCAAGCCCUAGUUGCUUGGUGUUGGGAGUUUAUCUUGCCGAAAGGCGGACAACUCCUUAAAACUAUUGGCGGAGUCGCGGUGACCCCAAGCGUAGUAAAUCUUCUCUUCUCUCGCUUUAGGGUGUCAACGCUGGCCUUCUAGCCGUUAAAGCCUCUAAUUUAUUAGUGGUUGACCUCGAAUCAGGUAGGACUACCCGCUGAACUUAAGCAUAUCAAUAAGCGGAGGAAAAGAAACCAACAGGGAUUGCCCUAGUAACGGCGAGUGAAGCGGCAACAGCUCAAAUUUGAAAUCUGGCCUUCGGGUCCGAGUUGUAAUUUGCAGAGGAUGCUUUUGGUGCGGUACCUUCCGAGUUCCUUGGAACAGGACGCCUUAGAGGGUGAGAGCCCCGUACGGUUGGAUAUCAAGCCUCUGUAAAGCUCCUUCGACGAGUCGAGUAGUUUGGGAAUGCUGCUCUAAAUGGGAGGUAUAUGUCUUCUAAAGCUAAAUACCGGCCAGAGACCGAUAGCGCACAAGUAGAGUGAUCGAAAGAUGAAAAGCACUUUGAAAAGAGAGUUAAAAAGUACGUGAAAUUGUUGAAAGGGAAGCGUUUAUGACCAGACUUGGGCUUGGUUAAUCAUCUGGGGUUCUCCCCAGUGCACUUUUCCAGUCCAGGCCAGCAUCAGUUUUCCCCGGGGGAUAAAGGCGGCGGGAAUGUGGCUCUUUUCGGGGAGUGUUAUAGCCCACCGUGUAAUACCCUGGGGGGGACUGAGGUUCGCGCAUCUGCAAGGAUGCUGGCGUAAUGGUCAUCAACGACCCGUCUUGAAACACGGACC